rnacentral:lncRNA from 1 species
GAAUGCUUUCAGGAAGAUGACAGAUGCAGGGGAAAGAUGCUGUUUUGCACUAUCUUGAUUUGUUACGGCAGCCAACUUAUUGGCGUGAUGGAGUGACAAGAAAAGCAGCUGGCAUGGAAGAAACAGACACAGAAUUAUGGCUGCAAGCCCUGGCCAGCUGUGAAGCUGUAGCAUACCCUUUGCAGAACUGGGAUUGUAUUUUGUGGCCUUCUUGUAACCAGCACAGAUUCAGGAUUUUACACUGGACGCUAGAGAUAAGUGUAUCGUGCCGAGACAUACCAUCCACUGAUAAUUCUGAGGUGCCAUAGAAACACAGAGGUACUGAUAUUAGAUGCUGCAGUUUCUGUCUGAGUCAGAAGUAGGUAUGUCACUGGGAAUCCUUCACAGCCUGUACUUCAGCAGAAACACUAAAAUUGAGAGAGAAAGAAACAUAUGAAAGAGGAAAAUAUGACGUAGUUUAUUACAUGUGGGAAAAGUAGAGAUGCCAUAUUAUAGAACCAGAUUUCUUUUCUGUUGUUUUAUGCAACAUGUUGAUAUCUGCCAACUGAGAAUAUAAUGGAUUUUACCCAAGUGAGCAAUCUUCUCAGAAAAGUUAUAUUCGUUAUCAUAAGUUAAAAGAUGGUAACCCACGUAUUUAGUUUCUGUUGCAGUAUAGAUUUCUGGUUUAAUACCUUGCCCCAGGAUUUGUAGAAAUACAGAAAGUGCAAUAAAACAUUUGAGGAGAGGUGAAUCAGUACUGAAAUUGUCAAUUUUAUUUUGUUCUGUGAGAUUUCAUUUGGUCCCAGCUCUGUGUGAGUUUAAAGGAGAAAGAAACUAAU